rnacentral:lncRNA from 1 species
UAGAAGAACACGGAGGGCAAAGUACAUGUUGGUUUUCGAAAUUGUAAAAGACUUUGUUUUAUACUUUUAUAAUUACUGGGAACAGAAUGAGACAUUCGAUGCACUUUUCUAAUUUUUGCCUUUCCUUUUUCUUGCUAGCUUCUUGUUUCUACAUGAAUGUUAUACUUUUAUUCAUGCUUCUUUCUUCUACAAAUAUGCUUACACACGAUCUGUGUGCACUUCGACUCUGCUGAGUUUUAUAAAAACUUGGAUGACGUGAGACUCUGUGCAUUUAAUGUAAUCUUCAAUUGGGCGAUAAGAAUGGGUAUUUUUCCAAGGUUAAACUUUAUCAAACCUCUAAAACUCUGGAUGUGUAGACAUGGAAAAAUUUCAAUACUCCUUUCAUGAAUGAAAAAAGAGGUAAACAAGAGGGUAGCUUUUGGAAUCAGAGAUAGUGGUUUUCCUAGAUUUGUAUAAGAUGUAGUGUGAAAGUCUGCAAUUAAUCUAGGAAAGAUGGUACAUUUCUGAACUCAUGUUCUUCAUUCUAUGGACAAUUGGCAUUUUUUUUUUUCAAAAUAGUCUUAUAACUUAUGAAACAUCCGUAACGUUGUUUUGGAAUUUAUUACCAAGCCCUUCUCCACGUGUCAAGUUUGUGAUACGGAUAUUUCUUGCAUUUUUACAAGGGUCUAAGUAACGAAUAAUUUGUCUAUUGUAUUUCAGUGUUUUAAUUGGCAAGAUAAGCCGAAGUGUUAUAGUUUCUAUCAUUUGUAUUUUCUUUUGAAUGAUUUCAUACUGCCAUCACAAUAAGAAAAUUUUCCCAUAUUUUUAUUCACUUCAGUUUGUAAGCUAAAUACAAGAAGUGAAAACUCGUUGACUCCCUGCUAAUAUGUGCUGCGGGCAGGAGCUCAGUGCAGUGAAUUAUUAAAAUGUCUUCGGAUUAUAGUAGUUGCUCUUGAGCUCGUAUAAUAUGACGAUUAUGUAAUUGUUACAGAUUUUGGAGGUUUUGCUUCCACAAGGUAUGAUUAUUCCUUCAGCUUUCGUAACUGUUGGGCAUAUUGCACAUCUAAAUCUGAGAUAUGAACAUCAUUCAUAUAAAAAUCUUAUUACGAAGGUACUUCUACUGUUUAUAUUAGUAACACUCAAUUUCAGCGAGUCGUUUAGCCUUGUCCUGAUAAGUUUCAUUCAAUUAAGAUUUUUAGUUAAACACAAAUUCUGGAAGAAUAUAAAAAGGUUAAAAGAAUUUAGUUAAAAUAAAUGAGUGGAUGAAUUUAGAAUGAUCUGUUUUUAUUUGAUUUUAUAUAUGUCUAUUUAGGUAAAUUUACAUAAAAUUAAAAAUGUAAUAUAAUUAUCAUUUUAAAGGUGGAUGUAUAUAUAAAAAUCGUGUAUGUAAAUAGCGCCACCCAUUUAUAAUCAUUGAGAUGUUCCAAUCUUCAUUUACUUUAAUGUGCUCGUAAGAUGUGUCUUUUUACUAUGACUAUAGUCAUAAGUAAUGGGUUGCUUUCUGAGGAAUUAGUGAUGUAUUAUAUUUAUUUUCCCCACGUUGCUUGUCUUUGCUUGUACGUGACUGAUUUGAAAUAUAUGUUAGAGCAGACCAUAACGAAUUGAGUCCCUUUGUUCAGAUCUGGAAUUCGAUCAUACUGAAGUCCGGAUAUUAAUGCUUGCUUCGUGAGUUGUAAUAUUUUCUUUUUUAUACUUCAAAAUUGAAAUUGACAUUAAUGAUUAUGGUUUUAGGAAAAUGCAAGGAUAUUUCACCCGGGUACGAAAAGCUUUAGCAUUCUCUUAAAUGUAUAUUCACUACUAAGUUUCUUUGAUUUGGCUCAUGACGCUCUUGUUUCUUCAAUAGAUUCACGUGCUUAAGUUUAAUUUAUCAGCUUCAACUCCUGUUUUCUCUUCAACUUAAUGUGCAUGUUUGUAUUCUUU